GUGCCCAACCACGUGGAUUUUCAUAGCACUUUGUCACUCCCUUCUUAGGACCAAGAACAAUUUGUGAUUUUACAUUUACUUGUGUAAUUUGAUGACUGUGCCUGCCUUCAUGAGAUUGUCAGCUCAGGGAGAGGAAGGGCUCUCUUUUUGUUCAUUAUGGCAUCUCUGUCCUUCCCAAGAUACUUCUUCCAGUAAAGGUGCAAUAAAUAUUUGCUGGGUAGAGGAAAGCAUGGCUGAAUCCGGGAAAGAGAGAGCAUUUUGGAAUGGCUGAACCAUGUGCUAGAGGAGAACCUGGACCUGGCUGGGUAGCUGCUCGGGGUUCCAGUCCUGCAGCCCAUGUUUCGUGCUUCGGAACCAACCGUUAUACAGAGAGAAGAUAAGACAGAGGAAGGUGAACACGAACCAAGGAGAUGAGAGGAGACGCUGGCCAGGCUGUCCACAAAGCGGCUUUCUCCUUACGAAGUAUUAAAGGGCUCUUCCCUGACACACCUGGAAACCCACUUCAAAGUCGGGCCUGCCCACGGCGGAACUUGUCAAGCCAUGGGAACUUCCUGUGCCUUCUGCAUGACCUCUUCAGAGCAGGUCCCCCGUCUCUCCUUUGAAAACUCCCAGGGAACACCUUCGCUGGAAGAAAACGCUCAGCUCAAUAGAUUUGCAACACAUACAAGGUGUUCCACCUGGUUUCCCGUUUGAGCAGCACAGAACCAGCGGACACCUUCAUAGGCUCGACAACCUUCCCUGUGUGUUCUACUACUCGGAACAUCCUGAGUCCUUCAAUUAUUCAUUGAACAGCAUUGCUUUUAGUCUCUUACUAUUAGAAUUCUUUUCUAGACUAACUGUAGUUAAAGUUUUCUUUAAAAGUGCAUUUCCUGAGGUGCCCGGGUGGCUUAGUCAGUGAAGUGGCUGC